AAUGUCAUCUUAAUGAGGAGUGCUGUGAAACUCUGGGCUCAGCUCUCCAGUCACCCGACUCAGACCUGCGAGAGCUGGACCUCAGCUACAACGACAUGGGAGACCCAGGAGUUCUGUGUCUUGAUGCUGGACUGAUGAGUCCACACUGCAAACUGGAGAAACUGGCGUGAGUCAUUUAUAAUACACAGCCGUAAGAAUUUAGUUGUUGCCAAUAAAAAAGACCAAUGGUAUUAAACAUGGUGCUACUGCCUCUACACUAUGGUGGUGUGAAAUAUUUAAUAUAUUGUACACUAUUCAUGACAUCAUGAUUAACCAUGUGGAAGGUGUGAUUUUUUUUCCUAGCAAUGUGUAGAAAAUUGACAAGUACAGUUUUAACAUCCUGUAACAAAGUUUAUAUUGAUAUAUAAACCUCUUAAUUUCUUAAGACUUGCUGGCUGCAAGCUCACAGAUAAAUAAUUUGAAGUUGUGGCCUUUGCUUUAAUGUCUGGGCACUCAAACUUGAGAGAGGUGGAUUUGAGCUACAAUGUGGGUGAUUCAGGAAUACUGCUGAUCUGUGAUGGACUGGUCCGCCCUCACUGCAAACACUAAGGCUUGCUGGCUGUAAUAUAUCCAGAGAAUCUUGUGAGACUCUGGCCUCAGCUCUCCCGUUGGCAGAUCCACGGCUAACAAAGCCUCUGCUACAAUAACGUUGGGAGGUCAGAGAUUAAGAAGUCGUGUGCUGCUGGACAGAGCUGUACACUUUGGGAACUAGACUUCCCACGAUUUGGAAGAAUCUGGAGCAUGGUUCCUCAAUGGACUUCUGGGCCAACAAUGUAGUCUAGAGAAACUAGCAUUGUCUGGCUGUAAUCUGACACAUGAAUCCCUAGAAACUCUGGCCUCAGCUCUCCAGUCACCAUCUGAUUGAGCUGGACCUCAGCUACAACAACCUGGGUGACUGAGAUUCAAUUGUGGGAAAUGGCCUGAGAAGUCCACAUUGCAAACUUGCCAACCUAGGAUUGGCUGGCUGUUACCUUUCAUAUGGAUGUUGUGAAACUCUGGUAUCAGCAUUCAUGCCUCAAAACACAUGCCUGAGAGAGCUGGACAUCAGCUACAACAACCUUGGGGACUGUGGAGUGUACCUGCUCUGUGCUGGACUGACCAGUCCACUCUGUCAUAUAGAGAUACUGCAGUGAGUAUUGUUGUGUGUACCAUACAGACAAGGCAAAAUGUUCAAUGAAGGCACAAAAAUCCAUGUACAAACAUUUUUGUAGUGUCAAUCUUAUAACAAGUAAUUGUUGCCUCAGCUUGCAAUGCCUCACUUUAUAGCAUUUCUGGGCCUGUGCAGGUUUGAUAUAACCUUUAUAUUCUACCUCAUCUCUUUCUCUUCAUCUGAGGGAGUGUAAUAUGACAGGUGUGUGCUGUUCAGAUUUGGCCACAGUUUUGUGUUCAUCCAACUCAAAGCUGAAAGAAUUGGAACUACGAGACAACAACCUGCAAAACUCAGGAGUUGCACUUCUCUCUGCUGUGCUCAGAGACAUACAUUGUGAAGUACAGAGAUUGGGGUUGUCUGGCUGUAGAAUCACAGAGGAAGGCUGUAUUUAUCUGGCUUCGGCUCUGAGAUCCAACCCUUCACACCUGAAAGAGCUGGACCUGAGUUACAAUCACCCAGGCGACUCGGGAGUGAAGCAGCUCUCUGCUGUACUGGAAGAUCCACACAGUAUGCUGAAGAAACUCAGAUGCCUGUCUGCUCAGUCUGGACCCAAACACAGUGCACCCACAUCUGUCACGCUCAAAGGGGAACCGAGAGGUGACGCGAAACGUAAAGAACCUGCAACCUCUUGAUCUCCUAGUUAGAUUUCAGCACUGUCGCCAAAUUCUGGGCAAAGAGUAUCUGACUUCACGCUGUUACUGGGAAAUAGAGUGGAGCAGGACGAACGUUGACGUCGGAGCCACAUAUAAAAAGAAUCAACAGGAAAGGCGAGGGCUCGGAAAGCAUGAUCGGGAUGAAUAACAAGUCCUUUAGCUUGGUCUGUCAUCGUGAAGGCAAUCACUUCUGUCACAAUGGGAGAAGCAUUAGUCCAGACACAUUUGGGGUGUGUCUGGACUGGCCGGCUGGCACUCUCGCCUUCUACAGUGUCGCCAGUGACACAGCGACCCACCUGCAUACAUUCCAAACCACGUUUACAGAGCCCCCCCAUCCCGCGUUUGGAGUUUACAUGGGCUCAAAGCUGACACUUUGUCAGUUAGACUAGAGAGUCAAUCAGCAUAUAUUCAGUGCAUACAGAGUAGUAUAUUAUAUAUGAGAUGUGAUAGUAAAAUGUGUGUCUCCUGUAGUCCAUCUGCUGCAUUGCAUUGUACCAAUUGUGUAUAUAGUAGUUUAAGUUACUGCUGACCUCACAAUCUUUUGGAUAUUAUUAGGUUCUAGUCCUCAGAGUAAACUCACACACUAUGAAAGCUUAAACCAAGUUAAUUCUUCCCAGAGGAUCAAGACAGCUGCAUUAGACAAUGACAUUUCACACAAGCACUGAUAUUUUAACCCUUUCUCAUAGGCGGAGUCUCCUCCUCCACAUCUGAACAGCCAACACAUCUCUUUUGCUAGACAGAACCUUAGUGAUAACUGUUCUUCCGCACUUCAUCUGAUCUGACCUCUACCCCAAAGUGCUCACUCCCCAAUUCAAGGCUGUCAUGGUGAUUUGUACCAGACUGUGUCUCUUCUCAUAGGAUCCCUGAUGCCUAACAAUAACAAAUCCUGACAAUGUAAAUGUUAUACAUUACCCUCUCUCCCUCAGUGACAUGAAUAAGUACAUUUCAUUCUCAGAACCCAAUAAUACAGAUAAUAAAACUACUGU